rnacentral:lncRNA from 1 species
UAUAUUAAGGCAGUCAGAUAUAUGCACUUACAUAUGUAGUAAGUCAAUACAUAAAAAUAGCAAAUACUAGAUUGGACACUCCAUUAUUUUUUUAUUUUUCAUUAAGCUAAAAUGUCCGAAUGGCCGUGUCAAAAUCUGUUUCUUUUUACAAAAAAGUACUAUACCUUCCUGAUCUCAUUAUGGCUACGGCCUUGUCUUAAAAAGUGAAAAUUCGGGACCAUCGACAAGAAAUAGUUCAACAUCUCAAAAUAAUCAAAUACCAUGGAAAAACAAUAUUAAGGAUGCUUUUGCGACUUCCAAAUCGAAAUUUGCAUCAUCUUCCUCUCCAACUAUAAAGAAAUGAGCAUAUUAUUAUUAGGUAUACAGAACCAGAUGUAAAGAAACCAUAUUUGGAGGGAGUGACAUAUAGAAGGCUGAAAAGGAUUAUUUCACUGAUAUUUUUAAUUGUUAAACAAUACUAAUUUAUUUAUUUAUUAUGUAUAAUAUAUUGAAUAUAAAUAAUAUACUAUUUGGAUAAAAAAGUGCAUUUUAAUUAGAAAGAUAUUGACCCUUCGUGUUUUAGGCCCAUCUAAGUUUAAAAAUAUAGAAAUUAAAAAAUAUAUUUGUAAAAAAUGAA